UACGUAGGGGCUAGCGUUGUUCGGAAUUACUGGGCGUAAAGCGCACGUAGGCGGCUUUGUAAGUUAGAGGUGAAAGCCCGGGGCUCAACUCCGGAAUUGCCUUUAAGACUGCAUCGCUAGAAUUGUGGAGAGGUAAGUGGAAUUCCGAGUGUAGAGGUGAAAUUCGUAGAUAUUCGGAAGAACACCAGUGGCGAAGGCGACUUACUGGACACAUAUUGACGCUGAGGUGCGAAAGCGUGGGGAGCAAACUAGGAU
rnacentral:rRNA from 1 species